rnacentral:rRNA from 1 species
GACGAACGCUGGCGGCGUGCUUAACACAUGCAAGUCGAACGGAAAGGCCCUGCUUUUGUGGGGUGCUCGAGUGGCGAACGGGUGAGUAACACGUGAGUAACCUGCCCUUGACUUUGGGAUAACUUCAGGAAACUGGGGCUAAUACCGGAUAGGAGCUCCUGCUGCAUGGUGGGGGUUGGAAAGUUUCGGCGGUUGGGGAUGGACUCGCGGCUUAUCAGCUUGUUGGUGGGGUAGUGGCUUACCAAGGCUUUGACGGGUAGCCGGCCUGAGAGGGUGACCGGCCACAUUGGGACUGAGAUACGGCACAGACUCCUACGGGAGGCAGCAGUGGGGAAGAUUGCACAAUGGGCGGAAGCCAGAUGCAGCAACGCCGCGUGCGGGAUGACGGCCUUCGGGUUGUAAACCGCUUUCGCCUGUGACGAAGCGUGAGUGACGGUAAUGGGUAAAGAAGCACCGGCUAACUACGUG